UCUUUCAAAUAUUGUUGAUUUGAAUUUUUGAGUAAUAAGUAGUGACUGUUUUGUAUUUGUAUUGUUUUGCGAGGACUAAUGCUAUUGACUUUGGUGUUUAACAUGAUCAAGCUCAAGUUACUUAGGUAUUAUUAGUUAAUGCCUUAUGUUGUAAUUUGUCUUUUUGAAAUUAUACUGAUUUAAAUUUUAAGUAAUGAGUAGUGACUAUUUUGCAUUUGUUUUGUUUUGCGAGGACUUAUGCUAUUGACUAAAGGACUCGAUUGGAUGUACCUCGUUAAUUGCGAUGCCUAUGCCUAGGUACUUUUAAAUACAUAUUUCCACACUUUUAAAUAUUGAGGUACGUAACAUUUGCUUUAAAUGUUGUAUAUGUAUCUUGGACCGUAAUUAACUUGAGUUUGAUGUAUCCCGGGUUCAACUUUAAGCUCAAGUAAAUUAGGUAUUAUUAGUUAACGCUUUAUAUGUUACUUUAUCUCUUUCAAAUAUUGUUGAUUUGAAUUUUUGAGUAAUAAGUAGUGACUGUUUUGUAUUUGUAUUGUUUUGCGAGGACUAAUGCUAUUGACUUUGGUGUUUAACGUGAUCAAGCUCAAGUUACUUAGGUAUUAUUAGUUAAUGCCUUAUGUUGUAAUUUGUCUUUUUUAAAUUAUACUGAUUUAAAUUUUAAGUAAUGAGUAGUGACUAUUUUGCAUUUGUUUUUUUUUGCGAGGACUUAUGCUAUUGACUAAAGGACUCGAUUGGAUGUACCUCGUUAAUUGCGAUGCCUAUGCCUAGGUACUUUCAAAUAUAUAUUUUCACACUUUUAAAUAUUGACUUACGGAACAUUUUGCUUAAAUGUUAGAUGUAUUUUGGACCGUAAUUAACUUGGUUUGAAUUCCCCGGGUUCAACUUUAAGCUCAAGUACAUUAGGUAUUAUUAGUUACGCCUUAUGUGUUACUUUAUCUGUUUUAAAUAUUUUGAUUAUAUUUUUUGAGUAAUAAGUAAGUUACUGUUUUGUAUUUGUAUUGUUUUUGCGAGACUAAUUCUAUUGUCCUUUGGUGUUUAAUAUGAAUCAUGCUCAAGUUAAUUAGGUCUUAUUUGUUAAUGUUCCUUAUGUUUGUAUUCUCUCUUGAAAUUGACUUAUUUAAUUUUAAGUAAUGAGUGAGUGCUAUUUUGCAUUUGUUUUGUUUUGCGAGAAUUUAUGCUAUUACUAAAUGACUCGAUUGGAUGUACCUCUUAAUGCAUGCCUAUGCCUAGGUACUUUCAAAUACAUUUUUCUACAGCCUUUACUUAUUGAGGUACGUGACCAUUUGGCUUUAAAUGUUGUUUGAUCUUGGACUGUAAUUAACUUGAGUUUGAUUAUCCCGGUUUCAACUUAAGCUCAAGUAAUAGGUAUUAUUAGUUAACGCCUUUAUGUGUUACUUUAUCUCUUUCAAAUAUUGUUUGAUUUGAUUUUUGAGUAAUAAGUAGUGACUUUUUGUCUUUGUAUGUUUGGGGGCUAGGACUAUUGCUAUGACUUUGGUGUUUAAAUUAUCAGCUCAAGUUACUUAGUAUUCUUAGUUAAUGCCUUCUGUUGGUAAUUUGUCUUUUUUAAAUUAUACUGAUUUAAAUUUUAAUUAUGAGUAGUGACUAUUUUGCAUUUGUUUUGUUUUGCGAGGACUUAUGCUAUUGACUAAGGACUGCGAUUGGAAUGUACCCGUAAGUUGCGAUCCAUGCCUAGGUACUUUCAAAUAAUAUUUCCACAUUUUUAAAUAUUGAGGUAACUAACAUUUGCUUUAAUGUUUGUAUCUGUAUCUUGGACCGUAACUAACUUGAGUUUGAACUUCCCUGGGUUCCACUUUAACUCAAGUAAAUUAGGUAUUAUUAGUUAACGCUUUUGUGUUACUUUAUCUCUUUCAUAAUGUUGAUUUGAUUUUUGAGUAAUAAGUAGUGACUGUUUUGUAGUUUUAUAUUGUUUUUGCGUGAGGACGGGAAUAUAUUGACUUGGUGUUUAACAUGAUCAAGCUCAAGUUACUUAGGUAUUUAUUAGUUAAUGCCUUAUGUUUAAUUUGUCUGUUUGAAAUUAUACUGAUUUAAAUUUUAAGUAAUGAUAUGACUAUUUUGCAAUUUGUUUUGUUUUGUGAGGACUUCUGGUAUUGACCAAGGACUCGUUGGUGUACCUCGUUAAUUGCGAUGCCUAUGCCAAGUACUUUCAAUACAUAUUCGACACCUUUAAAUAUUGAGGUACCGUAACAUUUGCGUUAAAUGUUUUGUAUGUUUAAUCUUAGCCCGUAAAUUACUUGAGUUUGAAGUUCCUCGGGUUCACUUUAAAGCUCAAUGUAAAAUAGGUAUUGUUAGUUACCGCCUUUGUUGUACUUUAUCUUCUUCAAAUCAUGUUGAUUUGAAUUUUUUGCGUAGAAGUAGUGACUGUUUUGUAGUUCUAUUGUUUUGCGAGGACGAAUGCUAUUGAAUUUGUGUUUAACAGAUCAAGCUCAAGUUACUAGGUAUUAUAUUGAAUGCCUUUGUUGUAAUUUGUCUUUUUGAAAUUAUACUGAUUUAAAAUUUUUAAGUAAUGAGUAGUGGCUAUUUGCAUUGGUUUGUUUUGCGAGGACGUAUGCUAUUGACUAAAGGACUCGAUUGGUGUACCUCGUUAAUUGGCGAUGCCUAUGCCUAGGUUACUUUCAAAACAUUUUUGCACACUUUUAAAUAUUGAGGUACGUAACAUUUUGGGUCUUUUAAAUGUUGCAAUGAAUCUUGGACGUAAUUACUUGAUUUUGAACUUCCCCGGAUUCAACUUUAGCGCAAGCAAAUUUAGUAUUAUUAGUUAACGCUUUUGUGGUUACUUUUAUCUGUUUUAAAUAAGUUGAUUUAUAUUUUUGCGUAAUAAGUAGUUACUGUUUUGUUAUGGUAUUGUUUUGCGAGGACUAUGCUAUUGCUUUGGUGUUUAACAUGAUCAAGCACAAGUUCUUAGGUAUUUUAUUAAUGCCUUAUGUUGUAAUUGUCUUUUUGACAUUGUACUGAUUUAAAUUUAAGUAUGAGUAGUGACUAUUUUGCAUUUGUUUGUUUUGCGAGGACUUAUGCGAUUGACUAAAGGACUCGAUUGGAUGUACCUCGUUAAUUGCGAUGCCUAUGCCUAGGUACUUUCAAAUACAUAUUUCCACACUUUUAAAUAUUGAGGUACGUAACAUUUGCUUUAAAUGUUGUAUAUGUACUUGGACCGUAAUUAACUUGAGUUUGAUGUUUCCCG
rnacentral:lncRNA from 1 species